UUGAUGUUUAAGCUAUAACUGUGGUUUGUUCUAUUUACGCCCAGGAUGAAGGGAACCCAGCUGGCAUAGAGCUACAGCCUCAACUAGGACCUCAUGCAUGGUAGCCUACUGCCAUAUGCUGCUGGGACUCCACUGUAAUUAUCCGACCCACGGAUGAAACACAGAGAGAAACAAGCAAAUGGAACCUCCAGCGCUACAAUUCAGACCAUAAUCAACACAAGAGAUUCUGCCAUCCCUGUGCAUACAGAAUACAGAGGUUCGACACUUUGGAAUGUCUUCUAAUCUGAUUCCUUCAGAUUUCCUAAGACUUUCCCCCAACAGCUUCAGGGGCCAUUUACGAGCACCAAGCUAUCCAACUUGAGCUUCUUCUGGUUUGCUGCUUUGCACCUGUGAUUCAAAUCUCUCCAUUGCAGUCCUGUUCAGCAGCUCAGCCCCUGAUGACCACUCUCAGGUCUGCAUCAAUGCCUGUACCCUGCAGAAGAAUUCAGGAUGACUGGCCAAUGAACUGCAAAAAUUCACCUGUCUUUGUCCCUCCAGUGCUAGAAUCAGAAGCAUGUCACUGUAGCCAGCUUUCUCACUUGUGUUCCAAGGAUCAAACUCAGGUCUCCAUGCUUGUAUGAGAAAUAAUUUUACUGACUAAACUCUCUCUUAGGCUUAUUAACUAGAAUUUAAUGGUGUGGAAUUACAUCUAGAUAUUUUUUCCAGGCAUGGACCACUAAAAACAAAAUGCAAUCUUAUUCCUCCUUUCUAUUUGAACCUGUUGAGAUAAGAUGACAAUACAGCACAGAUUCUUAUGGCACCUUAGAGGAUACAUGACACCAUAACCAUGGCAAUGAAAGAAGUGGAAUGAGAAACUAACAAGGAGAUGUAUAGUAAUAGUAGCUGAGCUAUUAACACACCCAAAUAGAAUGAAUAGGUUCACAGGAUUCUUAUCCAGGAUUCUUGCCACUUCUCCCUCUUGUUCCACCUCCAUGUGGAUGAUCCUGGGAGGUGACAAAGCACACAGGAGAUGGGUGGUUAAUUGAAGGAGGUAUGUGUAGUACAGAGUGAAGUUUGCUUGAGUCCAUCACCCAUGAGGACUGCACUUUUUGAACAUGCAGUUCUUUCUUCUGAGUUACUCAUGAUGCUUUAAGUAAGCACAGUAGUCUCAUCUUAUUAGUUACUUUUCUAUGCCUGCCACAAAAUAUUAUGACCAAAAACCCCUUUAAGAAUAUUUACUUUUGACUAACAGUUCCAUAGGCUAGAUAUCCAUAAUUUUGGAAAAACAUGGGUCCAUUUGAAUUAAAUUGUUUUUAGGAGCUUGUUAAAAAUGAAAUAUUCAGGGGGAGGGGAAAAUGAAAUAUUCCAGUAUUCUAUCUACAAUAUUCUAACUUACUUUAAAAAAAAAAAGAAAACUAGAACCCAAGGAUCUAUAUUUUAAACAAGGUUUUCCUGAAGAUUUUCACGGGUGUCUGCAAUACAUGUAGGACCCAUUAGUAAUAGUUUCCUUAUCUAUAUAAUGAAUAUU